rnacentral:lncRNA from 1 species
AAUGGCUGCACCUGCAGCAUAUGGAUGUUCCCAGGCUAGGGGUUGAAUAGGAGCUACAGCUGCAUGGGAUCCAACCCUAUGCCAUAGCCACAGCAACUCAGGAUCCGAGCCAUGUCUGCAACCUACACCACAGCUCAUGGCAAUGCUGGAUCCUUAGCCCACUGAGCGAUGCCAGGAAUCAAGCCCACAUCCUCAUGGAUACUAGUCAGGUUCAUAUCACACUGAGCCACAAUGGGAACUCCCUGGAGUCUUCUUUGUUAACAAAAGCAUCCUGAUACUCAAACAUUCAUUUUAUUUUAAAAAGAAAAAAUAUUUAAGCCAAGUUGAUAUAGAAAUACUUAGUGGUUUUUUUGGCUUUUUUUCAGUUUUGUUUUUGGCCACACCCAUGGUAUAGCAGCGACCUGAGUCACAGCAGUGACAAACAAGAUCCUUUAACUUACUGAGCCACAGGGGCUUUAAUAAAGAGUAAAGCAAACUAGAGUAAAUAGAAGUAAGCAAAGUGGUUUGGACAUUAAAGAAGCUAAUGGUAUUGGUCUGUUACCUCAGAGUCAGGGAUAGCGCUCAGAACAAAGGAGAUAGUAAUCUACCUGACAUGGUUAGACUCUAUGAAAUAGGAAUGUAUUUAUUGGUGCUUCUGGGGUAACUUCGAUAUGUGUCCUAGAUGGCUUAUUUGUACCCAUUCACAAAGUAGCUACCAUCCCAGCAAGGACUUUCUGAUACCUCCUUCAUGCAUCCUAAAGUCUGAUUAGUCCUAUCUCCUUUUGUCCUUUCAAAUAUCAACAUAAUCAUUUUUACCUCUUGGUUUUUUUUACCUUCUCCUUCAGUCUGGUGUGUCCUCUCCCCUCAGUUUUUUUUCCUGUCUUCUCUGUCUAAACCAUUCCUCAAAAUCUAUCUCUUGUUUUGCUCUGAUAUGUUUCAUCUCAAUGCUUCCUCUUGCUUAUGAAUUCCAAAACAUUCACUGAAUCUCAAAAUAUUCACAUAUCAUUGACUGUCAUUUAAAAACAUAUAUGAGUAUUAUCUUUCUGAUACGAUUAUUUCUGGGACUACCAUAUUGGUUUGCAUAGUGCUUAUUCAACAAAGACUUGUUGAAAUUGGAAGAAACAAGACCAGCUGGGUAAUAUGCAGCCACCCAAAUAUAAGGUGAUGGGGAAUGAGUAAUGGGAAUAAGGAUGGAGAUAAAAAGGAAAUAGGAUUUGGUAGUGGAUGAGUAUUGUGUGAUAGAGAGGAAAAUAUUGGUGGAUGCCAGGAUCUUUGGUUUGUGUGUCUGGAGAUCCUUAUAAGUGCUAUUAAUGGAAAUGGGUAAUUGUCAAAGGAAGAUUCAUGGUAGAAAGGGAAGAGUUAUUAUUGGGUCUACCCAAUGUGUUGGCCAUGUGGUCAAUCUUUAUAAAGUAAAAUUUAAAGGGAUUGAAAGAAUUGUUACUGCAGUUUCUCCCUCAUUAGUCUUCAAGAAGCCCUGCUCUGUCUGAUUUCAAUUCCACCUUUGUAUUUCUGCCUUACCAAUCUGGGGUAAGAUACAGAAAACUGUAUUUCUCAGAUUCAGUUACCAGCUGGUUUCCUGUUGGGUUUUGCCAAGAAACACUAGGAUGAUGGGAACACAAGAAAGAAGGAAAGACUUCCUCAUUCCUAUUUGCUGUUCCUACUGCCAUCACCUUGGCAGUGACAAUUUGCUGCAGCAGUGACAUUUCACCCCAGUAGGAACAGUUUGUCUUAUGAAUGGCGGCUGGUUUCAAUCUCCAGCUUCUUUGAAUUUUAGUUAGUUAAUUGCUCCCUUCCUUAAGUACCAACUGCAAGCAGGCAUUGUCCCCUCCUCAGGGAUCUGAGUUCACCAAGGUUCCUACUCUGGGAUCCUAAAUUCUAGUCAUUUAACCUCUGCCUUUUCAUUCUUCAAGCUUUGUGGGUAGUAGCUUGCAUGUUAUGGCUGGGUAAUCUUUAGUGUUUUCUGUUGUUCUUUCAGCUCUCAAACACCUGUAUGACCUGCCCCUGUACUAAAUCUUUUCCUAGAAUACUUACUAUUUUCUGAUGGCAUGGGACUGACACUGCUAGGAGAGUCUAGCAGUUAAAGGUUUAUGCAAAGAGCAUUGGGGUCUCCAGUAAUUCCUUUUGGAUGAUUAAGGAAGAAUUUCUGUUAAAAAGUAGCAUUUGCAAAUGACAUUGAAUAUGCGUAGGAUUUAGAGGUGUAAGGAUGGGAUGGAAAAAGCCUUUCAUGGCAUGAAAACACACACACACACACACACACACACACACACACACAAAAUCGACUCAUUAACAGGAAACACGAAACGUAAUUAUGUUGGAAAGAAUGAAAUGUAAAAGUUAAUAUUUGGUAAUAACUUUGCAAAAGUAGCAUUGUAUCAGAUAUUGUUCAGGGGAUCUUAAAUGCCAGACUCAGAAUUGCUGAACUUAUUAAGGCUUUUGAGUAGCUAGGUUGAAAUGUUAGGAAGUUAGAGGAAGGAAGAAAGGAAACUACUUAUUGAACAGCUAUACUUUGGAAGAUAAUGUAACGAGUAUGAGAAAGUCCAGUGUUAUCCCAAGAUAAUAAGAAUGUCUUAUCCAUCCAUUUUUCUAAUCAAAUUUAACCUGCUCUGAGUUCUCAACCAUCUGAUUGAUGGGGCAUAUUGGUCAAUAUUAGAACUACUAUUUACUUCCAUCUAAGAAGCUAGGGCGCACAUUAUUCUGUGAAAAUGGAAAAGGUCCCUGGUCCUUAGUACAUGAUGACCACCAUUGAUUUGUUCACUUGAAUGCUGGGCAGCUCUGUUGAGAGCUGCAGAGAUGUUCCGAUUGGGUUCCAGAGAUGUCUUUUCACAUGGUCCUCUUUGCCACAAGAAAUUUGCUCUCAGAACCAGAGUAUUUGUUUUUCAGCCUCUUUGAUCCCUACAUUCAUCCCUCAUCCAAAGUUUUGCCACAGCCUGAGCUUUGCUUGGAGUAAGAUGCAGGUUCUGCAUGUGCCUUGUGGUAGGCAGAAUAAUGGUCCCCCAAAGAUGUUACAUCCCUCUAGAAGCUGGUGAAGGCAAGGGAACGAACUUUUCUCCAGAGCCUCCAGAAGGAGCAUAGUCUUGGUGACAUCUUGUUUUUAAACUGGUGAGACCUUGGGUUUCUAACCUACAGAACUAUAUGAUAAUUAAUGUGCAGUUUUAAACUGUAAGUUUGUGGUCCUUUCUUACAGCAGCAAUGGGAAACUGAAUACUCCAAGAACUGCCCCAUCUCUUUCCCCUAGACUUGGGGUGCCUCCCUCACACUUGCACUCCUGCCAGAGUGUGCCUUCCUCCUAUCUCAAUUUCAACAUAGUCACCCUUCCCUCUUUCAGGGCAAUUCUGAAGCACAAGGAAUUUCAGUACAAAGCCUGAAAUACAGAAAUAUUUUCAUUUUCUCCAAGAAAAGCCUAGACCUUGCAAGAGUCCGCAAACCGCAUCCACAGCCCACAUCUAGUUCACUGCUUGUUUUUGAAAAUAAAGUUUUAUGGGAAUACAUUCAUUUUCAUAUUGUUUAUCUGCUUUCACACUAUAAAGGCAGUUAAAUAGUUGUGACAGUGACCAUAUGGUCUACGAAUUCUGAAAUUCUUACUCUCUGGGACUGCAUAAAAUGUGUGCUGACCUCUAUCUUAGAAACAAAUUGUGGUUAAUCCUAGGGCAGCGAUGUGGAUAAGUGUGGGGGGAGCAGAAUUUCCUUUUCAAUUGUUAUUCUAUAGCAGCCAUAAGUAAGGUAGAUAUUAGUCUCAGUAGAUUAACUCAUGGUUGGUUUAAUGGGCUGAAAGGUGGCCCCAAAGACAUCAGGUUCUAUCUCUUGAACCUAUUCAUGUUACUUGGAAAAAGGGGUCUUUGCAGAUGCAAAUAAAUUAAGGAUAAUUGAGAUGAAGAGAUAAUUCUGGAUUAUCCUGAUGGGCUCUAAAUGCCAUCAUAAAUGUCCUUAUAAGAAAUAGGUAGAGGGUAUUUGGGAAGGUGAUGUGAAGACAGAGGCAGAGAUUGCAGUGACAGACCCCACAAGUCAAGGAACAAGCAUCAAGAAAUGUCAGCAGCCACCAGAAGCUAGAAAGGCAAGGGAUGGAUGCUCUCCAAGAACCUCAGCGGGAAGCACAGCUCUGCUGACACCUCGAUUCUGGAUGUCUGGCUUCCAGAGCCAUGAGGAAGUAAAUGUCUGUCAUUUUAAACCAUCAAAGUUGUGUUAAUCUGGUAUAAUAGUAAUGGGCAAUUAAAACAGAUGGGAAGACCCUAUUGAAAAGAUAGCAACUUUUAACCAGCCCUUAUGAUUGAAGCCCAUAGAAAUAUCUGCUUAUGAAUUCCAGACUCAUUAUUUUACAUAAUCUCUGGCUUUGGUGGGAGCAAUGCAGGGAAAUGUGAAGGAACAAGCUUGGGACUUACAGACUUCGUGGGUAUUCAAAUCACUUAGCAGUGUAUAAAUGAUUUCACGGUCAUACAGUCAAAGUUCUUCAAGUAAAUCAUUUUGAUUCCCACUUCUGUCUGGCAUAGCGUAAUAAUCAGCAUUUCAAAAUGAGCCCUUGGCUGUGCUAUCAUUGCCUCAAUAACCGCUCAGGGAGCAUACGGUGUGCCAGCUUACAAUCCCUCUCUAUUUAUAAUCACGUGUUUCAAAAUCAACAUAUAUACAUAUUGUAUUUUAUUGUAUAUAUUUAAGCUGCUUCUCUCACCCCCAUUCACAUAUUUAAAAUGCUAAAUUUGCUAAAUAUUGAGGCCUGUUUCACUGAACACCUUUUACAACUGGCUUACUCAUCGAAUGGUACAUAACUGAACUCAAUAUCUAUAAUAUGUUUUCUAGAUUCAAGAUACUGCAUAUCUUGGUAAAAUUGAUAAUAAUAAAAUGAUCUCUUUGGUGUUUUGAUGGUUUACUGCUAAAAUUUUGAAAAGUAAUCAUAGUAUACACUUCACUCUACCAAAUCAAAGUCAGCUUUUAAAACUCAUCUACAAGUGGGAAUAAUUCCUUUUCCUGAUAGCACACAACUCUUGUGCACCAUAUUGAAUUGUCUUGGUCCAGUCACAGCUCCAGGAAUUAUUUCUGGACAGGCUGGACUCCUCACAAGGUAACCUAACAGGAUGCGGACUCAGGUAAUGUAGGAGUGCUGCUGCUCACCUGGGAUCUCUCUGAGGCUGAGAGUGUCUGCUUCUGAGGUUCAUUCCAUUAAGCUUCCCCAGAAUGCCCCUCCCUUUGAACAACCUCUUGUGUGGCCAACUCAACAAUGCACCUUUGUCACGACCCUCCCUUCCUCCCUCCUGUCCCCCUUCAGCACAUUGCUGAAGAAUCCGCG